CCUACGGGCGGCAGCAGUGGGGAAUAUUGCACAAUGAGGGAAACCCUGAUGCAGCGACGCCGCGUGAAGGAUGCAGUAUUUCGGUAUGUAAACUUCUAUCAGCAGGGAAGAAAAUGACGGUACCUGACUAAGAAGCCCCGGCUAACUACGUGCCAGCAGCCGCGGUAAUACGUAGGGGGCAAGCGUUAUCCGGAUUUACUGGGUGUAAAGGGAGCGUAGACGGCAUGGCAAGUCUGAUGUGAAAACCCGGGGCUCAACCCCGGGACUGCAUUGGAAACUGUCAGGCUAGAGUGUCGGAGAGGCAAGUGGAAUUCCUAGUGUAGCGGUGAAAUGCGUAGAUAUAAGGAAGAACACCAGGGGCGAAGGCGGAUGACUGGACGGCAACUGACGGUGAGGCGCGAAAGCGUGGGGAGCAAACAGGAUUAGAUACCCCAGUAGUC
rnacentral:rRNA from 1 species